rnacentral:lncRNA from 1 species
CUUGUGCUCCUUUCAGAGGAGAAGCAGAGUCUGGCACAAGAGAAUGCUGCCCUACGGGAGAGGGUGGGCCGGUCGGAAGUGGAGAGUGCCUCAGGCCUCACCGCCAAGAAGCUGUUGCUUCUGCAGUCACAGCUAGAACAGCUCCAGGAGGAGAAUUUCAGGCUGGAGAGUAGCCGGGAAGAUGAGCGGCUACGCUGCGUGGAACUGGAGCGUGAGGUCGCUGAGCUGCAGCAACGGAACCAAGCCCUGGCCAGCUUAUCCCAGGAGGCGCAAGCGCUGAAGGAUGAGAUGGAUGAGCUCCGACAGUCCUCCGAACGUGCAAGGCAGCUGGAGGCCACUCUGAACAGCUGCCGUCGUCGCCUGGGUGAGCUCCAGGAGCUCCGGCGGCAGGUGCGGCAGCUGGAGGAGCGAAAUGCAGGGCACGCGGAGCGCACGCGGCAGCUGGAGGAUGAGCUGCGCCGGGCCGGAUCCCUGCGUGCCCAGCUCGAGGCUCAGCGCAGGCAGAUGCAAGAGUUGCAGGGCCAGUGGCAGGAGGAGGCCAUGAAGGCUGAGAAGUGGCUGUUCGAAUGCCAAAACCUAGAGGAAAAGUGUGACCUGUUGACAAAAGAGAAGGAGCGGCUGUUGACUGAGAGGGACUCCCUGAGGGAGACCAAUGAGGAGCUCCGAUGUGCCCAGUUGCAGCCCAGGGGAUUGAAUCAGGCUGGCCUCUCCCUGGAUCCUACCCCUUCUGGCCUGGAGAACUUAGCAGCAGAGAUCCUGCCUGCAGAGCUCAGAGAGACACUCGUGCGGCUUCAGCUGGAGAACAAGAGACUGUGCCAGCAAGAGGCUGCGGACCGGGAGCGACAGGAGGAACUGCAGCGCCACCUGGAGGAGGCCAACCGUGCACGCCAUGGGCUGGAAGCGCAGCAACGGCUGAACCAGCAGCAGCUUUCUGAGCUGAGGGCCCAGGUGGAAGAGCUACAGAAGGCCUUGCAGGAGCAGGGGGGCAAGACAGACGACCCCACCCUGCUGAAGCGGAAGCUGGAGGAUCAUCUGUAAGUGC